rnacentral:rRNA from 1 species
GGGCAAGCGUGGCGGCGUGCCUAUACAUGCAAGUCGAGCGGACAGAUGGGAGCUUGCUCCCUGAUGUUAGCGGCGGACGGGUGAGUAACACGUGGGUAACCUGCCUGUAAGACUGGGAUAACUCCGGGAAACCGGGGCUAAUACCGGAUGCUUGUUUGAACCGCAUGGUUCAGACAUAAAAGGUGGCUUCGGCUACCACUUACAGAUGGACCCGCGGCGCAUUAGCUAGUUGGUGAGGUAACGGCUCACCAAGGCAACGAUGCGUAGCCGACCUGAGAGGGUGAUCGGCCACACUGGGACUGAGACACGGCCCAGACUCCUACGGGAGGCAGCAGUAGGGAAUCUUCCGCAAUGGACGAAAGUCUGACGGAGCACCGCUUCGUGAGUGAUGGCAACGAGCGCAACCCUUGAUCUUAGUUGCCAGCAUUCAGUUGGGCACUCUAAGGUGACUGCCGGUGACAAACCGGAGGAAGGUGGGGAUGACGUCAAAUCAUCAUGCCCCUUAUGACCUGGGCUACACACGUGCUACAAUGGGCAGAACAAAGGGCAGCGAAACCGCGAGGUUAAGCCAAUCCCACAAAUCUGUUCUCAGUUCGGAUCGCAGUCUGCAACUCGACUGCGUGAAGCUGGAAUCGCUAGUAAUCGCGGAUCAGCAUGCCGCGGUGAAAACGUUCCCGGGCCUUGUACACACCGCCCGUCACACCCCGUGACGGUUAACACCCCAACUCAGUCGUGACAAGGUUAGGAUCCAGCACAGUCGAAGCAAGAGCUGCUGAUC